rnacentral:lncRNA from 1 species
AAGAUUCUGAUGCUGUUGGGGAAAGCUGGACAGGGAGACUUACCAUUAAGUUUUAUCAUCGCCUAACAGACAGCUCCGGAUCCAGCUCCACAAUAAGCUGAAAAAGAGAGUUUGCAAUUAAAUCAUUUAUAUUCUGAAUUAGGAUCAAACUUAUGUGCAAAGAACAUUAUGAACAUGAAAGAGAUUUUCAUCAUUUUGCUGAAUCUGUCUUUGGUCUUCAGUGACCAAGCCGUUACUGGUAGUGUCUCAAUGAAGAGCUUGAGCUGCGACAAUGACUACAGCUCACACAUGACGUGCAAAUGGAAAGAGCAUAAAGAGGCUCAUGACCUCCUUCGUAUAACUCUUUACCAAAAUGAUGGCAUUCAGAAGGAACUGAAUCACCAGACUCAAUCAAUUGUGAGGAUAAGAAAGGAUAGAGAGGGAGGAGUAGUCAAGGAACAGAGGAAGAUAAAGAUGGAAAGCUGAGAAGAAAAUGAAUUAGCAUCUGUGGAUACAGGAGGGAAAUGGGAAGGAAAGAACUCUUGAUUUUGUUGUAAGUAAGAGAGAAUUCAUAUACCUAAAAGAGCUGAAAUCAGUUGAAGGCUUUGGAACAGGACCUUGAAGCUAAUAUUUCUGAAAGAAAAAGAUGAUACAACAUUCUUGUACCUUUGGGAAAUGCUCUGUAAUGCUUAUAUGAUAGAAUGUUUUGUGUGGAUCAUACAGGAAACAUGACUGAAGUGAACUAAUCAGAUAAGCAGCUAUUAAUUGUGGACAGCUGAAAUCAAAACGGCCAAUGAUUAAACACGGUCAACUCA